CUGCCUGGUAGUGGGGGACGAACGUUUCGAAAGGAACGCUAAUACCGCAUACGUCCUACGGGAGAAAGCAGGGACCUUCGGGCCUUGCGCUAUCAGAUGAGCCUAGGUCGGAUUAGCUAGUUGGUGAGGUAAUGGCUCACCAAGGCGACGAUCCGUAACUGGUCUGAGAGGAUGAUCAGUCACACUGGAACUGAGACACGGUCCAGACUCCUACGGGAGGCAGCAGC
rnacentral:rRNA from 1 species